rnacentral:rRNA from 1 species
AACGAACGCUGGCGGCAUGCCUAACACAUGCAAGUCGAACGAGACCUUCGGGACUAGUGGCGCACGGGUGCGUCACGCGUGGGAACCUGCCCUUAGGCUCGGAAUAACUCUUCGACAGGGGUGCUAAUACCGGAUAAUGUCUUCGGACCAAAGAUUUAUCGUCUUUGGAUGGGCCCGCGUUGGAUUAACUAGUUGGUAGGGUAAAAGCCUACCACGGCGACGAUCCAUAGCUGGUCUGAGAGGAAGAUCAGCCACACUGAGACGGAGACACGGCCCAGACUCCUGCGGGAGGCAGCAGUGGGUAAUAUUGGACAAUGGGCGAAAGCCUGAUCCAGCAAGGCCGCGUGAGUGAUGAAGGCCGGAGGGUUGUAAAGCUCUUUUACCCGGGAUGAUAAUGACAGUACCGGGAGAAUAAGCUCCGGCUAACUCCGUG